UUAAAAAGCUCGUAGUCGGAUUUCAGUAGCAGUCGGCUGUUCCUAGUGAUACGGCUUCCUUCUACUUCUUCGACAGGAACAUUCAUGUUAUUUAUUUAGCGUGUUUUGGGACUGUCUCUUUUACUUUGAGAAAAUUAGAAUGUUCAAAGCAGGUUCUCGCCUGAAUAUUACUCUUGAAAUAAUAAUAUAGGACUCUGGUUCAUAAUUGUUGGUGUUCUGGACCAGAGUAAUGAUUGAUAGGGACGGUUGGGGUCAUUCGUACUGCAAAGCGAGAGGUGAAAUUCUUGGACCUUUGUAUGACGAACAACUGCGAAAGCAUUUGGCUAGGACGUUCCCGUUGAUCAAGAACGAAAGUUGGGGGAUCGAAGACGAUCAGAUACCGUCGUAGUCUCAACCAUAAACUAUGCCAACUAGGGAUCGGAAGACGUUACAUAUAUCGACUCUUUCGGCACCUUAUGAGAAAUCAAAGUAUUUGGGUUCCGGGGGGAGUAUGGUCGCAAGGCUGAAACUUAAAAGAAUUGACGGGAGGGCACCACCAGGAGUGGAGCCUGUGGCUUAAUUUGACUCAACACGGGAAAACUUACCAGGUCCGGACAUAGUAAGGAUUGACAGAUUG
rnacentral:rRNA from 1 species